rnacentral:rRNA from 1 species
UACGAAGGGGGCUAGCGUUGCUCGGAAUCACUGGGCGUAAAGGGUGCGUAGGCGGGUUUUUAAGUCAGGGGUGAAAUCCUGGAGCUCAACUCCAGAACUGCCUUUGAUACUGAAGAUCUUGAGUUCGGGAGAGGUGAGUGGAACUGCGAGUGUAGAGGUGAAAUUCGUAGAUAUCGGGAGGAACACCAGUGGCGAAGGCGGCGACCUGGGCCAAUACUGACGCUGAGGUGCGAAAGCGUGGGGAGCAAACAGG